GCACUCGCCUGGGGGAGUACGGCCGCAAGGCUGAAACUCAAAAGAAUUGACGGGGGCCCCGCACAAGCGGUGGAGCAUGUGGUUUAAUUUCGAAGCAACGCGAAGAACCUUACCAGGUCUUGACAUCCUCUGACAUCCCUAGAGAUAGGGCUUUCCCUUCGGGGACAGAGUGACAGGUGGUGCAUGGUUGUCGUCAGCUCGUGUCGUGAGAUGUUGGGUUAAGUCCCGCAACGAGCGCAACCCUUGAUCUUAGUUGCCAGCAUUCAGUUGGGCACUCUAAGGUGACUGCCGGUGACAAACCGGAGGAAGGUGGGGAUGACGUCAAAUCAUCAUGCCCCUUAUGACCUGGGCUACACACGUGCUACAAUGGAUGGUACAAAGGGCAGCGAAGCCGCGAGGUGAAGCAAAUCCCAUAAAACCAUUCUCAGUUCGGAUUGCAGGCUGCAACUCGCCUGCAUGAAGCCGGAAUCGCUAGUAAUCGCGGAUCAGCAUGCCGCGGUGAAUACGUUCCCGG
rnacentral:rRNA from 1 species